rnacentral:rRNA from 1 species
CCCCGUACACAAAAAUGCACAUGCUGUGAGCUCGAUGAGUAGGGCGGGACACGUGGUAUCCUGUCUGAAUAUGGGGGGACCAUCCUCCAAGGCUAAAUACUCCUGACUGACCGAUAGUGAACCAGUACCGUGAGGGAAAGGCGAAAAGAACCCCGGCGAGGGGAGUGAAAAAGAACCUGAAACCGUGUACGUACAAGCAGUGGGAGCACGCUUAGGCGUGUGACUGCGUACCUUUUGUAUAAUGGGUCAGCGACUUAUAUUCUGUAGCAAGGUUAACCGAAUAGGGGAGCCGAAGGGAAACCGAGUCUUAACUGGGCGUUAAGUUGCAGGGUAUAGACCCGAAACCCGGUGAUCUAGCCAUGGGCAGGUUGAAGGUUGGGUAACACUAACUGGAGGACCGAACCGACUAAUGUUGAAAAAUUAGCGGAUGACUUGUGGCUGGGGGUGAAAGGCCAAUCAAACCGGGAGAUAGCUGGUUCUCCCCGAAAGCUAUUUAGGUAGCGCCUCGUGAAUUCAUCUCCGGGGGUAGAGCACUGUUUCGGCAAGGGGGUCAUCCCGACUUACCAACCCGAUGCAAACUGCGAAUACCGGAGAAUGUUAUCACGGGAGACACACGGCGGGUGCUAACGUCCGUCGUGAAGAGGGAAACAACCCAGACCGCCAGCUAAGGUCCCAAAGUCAUGGUUAAGUGGGAAACGAUGUGGGAAGGCCCAGACAGCCAGGAUGUUGGCUUAGAAGCAGCCAUCAUUUAAAGAAAGCGUAAUAGCUCACUGGUCGAGUCGGCCUGCGCGGAAGAUGUAACGGGGCUAAACCAUGCACCGAAGCUGCGGCAGCGACACUGUGUGUUGUUGGGUAGGGGAGCGUUCUGUAAGCCUGUGAAGGUGUGCUGUGAGGUAUGCUGGAGGUAUCAGAAGUGCGAAUGCUGACAUAAGUAACGAUAAAGCGGGUGAAAAGCCCGCUCGCCGGAAGACCAAGGGUUCCUGUCCAACGUUAAUCGGGGCAGGGUGAGUCGACCCCUAAGGCGAGGCCGAAAGGCGUAGUCGAUGGGAAACAGGUUAAUAUUCCUGUACUUGGUGUUACUGCGAAGGGGGGACGGAGAAGGCUAUGUUGGCCGGGCGACGGUUGUCCCGGUUUAAGCGUGUAGGCUGGUUUUCCAGGCAAAUCCGGAAAAUCAAGGCUGAGGCGUGAUGACGAGGCACUACGGUGCUGAAGCAACAAAUGCCCUGCUUCCAGGAAAAGCCUCUAAGCAUCAGGUAACAUCAAAUCGUACCCCAAACCGACACAGGUGGUCAGGUAGAGAAUACCAAGGCGCUUGAGAGAACUCGGGUGAAGGAACUAGGCAAAAUGGUGCCGUAACUUCGGGAGAAGGCACGCUGAUAUGUAGGUGAAGUCCCUUGCGGAUGGAGCUGAAAUCAGUCGAAGAUACCAGCUGGCUGCAACUGUUUAUUAAAAACACAGCACUGUGCAAACACGAAAGUGGACGUAUACGGUGUGACGCCUGCCCGGUGCCGGAAGGUUAAUUGAUGGGGUUAGCGGUAACGCGAAGCUCUUGAUCGAAGCCCCGGUAAACGGCGGCCGUAACUAUAACGGUCCUAAGGUAGCGAAAUUCCUUGUCGGGUAAGUUCCGACCUGCACGAAUGGCGUAAUGAUGGCCAGGCUGUCUCCACCCGAGACUCAGUGAAAUUGAACUCGCUGUGAAGAUGCAGUGUACCCGCGGCAAGACGGAAAGACCCCGUGAACCUUUACUAUAGCUUGACACUGAACAUUGAGCCUUGAUGUGUAGGAUAGGUGGGAGGCUUUGAAGUGUGGACGCCAGUCUGCAUGGAGCCGACCUUGAAAUACCACCCUUUAAUGUUUGAUGUUCUAACGUUGACCCGUAAUCCGGGUUGCGGACAGUGUCUGGUGGGUAGUUUGACUGGGGCGGUCUCCUCCUAAAGAGUAACGGAGGAGCACGAAGGUUGGCUAAUCCUGGUCGGACAUCAGGAGGUUAGUGCAAUGGCAUAAGCCAGCUUGACUGCGAGCGUGACGGCGCGAGCAGGUGCGAAAGCAGGUCAUAGUGAUCCGGUGGUUCUGAAUGGAAGGGCCAUCGCUCAACGGAUAAAAGGUACUCCGGGGAUAACAGGCUGAUACCGCCCAAGAGUUCAUAUCGACGGCGGUGUUUGGCACCUCGAUGUCGGCUCAUCACAUCCUGGGGCUGAAGUAGGUCCCAAGGGUAUGGCUGUUCGCCAUUUAAAGUGGUACGCGAGCUGGGUUUAGAACGUCGUGAGACAGUUCGGUCCCUAUCUGCCGUGGGCGCUGGAGAACUGAGGGGGGCUGCUCCUAGUACGAGAGGACCGGAGUGGACGCAUCACUGGUGUUCGGGUUGUCAUGCCAAUGGCACUGCCCGGUAGCUAAAUGCGGAAGAGAUAAGUGCUGAAAGCAUCUAAGCACGAAACUUGCCCCGAGAUGAGUUCUCCCUGACUCCUUGAGAGUCCUGAAGGAACGUUGAAGACGACGACGUUGAUAGGCCGGGUGUGUAAGCGCAGCGAUGCGUUGAGCUAACCGGUACUAAUGAACCGUGAGGCUUAACCUUACAACGCCGAAGCUGUU